UCCCUCUCAGGGUCGCAUCUGGGGAGUUUCCAGUCCUCUACCAGUCUCGGCUGCAGGAGGGAAAGUCAAGCAGAGGCCUACCCAUUCCAUUCCUACCACGGGCGGUGGAUAGCGAGUAGAAGGCAAUCUGCUACAGGA